CCAGCAGCUGCGGUAAUUCCAGCUCCAAUAGCGUAUAUUAAAGUUGUUGCAGUUAAAAAGCUCGUAGUUGGAUUUCUGGGUUCAGCUUUCAGCCCGUGGACUUGUUUCAUGUGUGCUGUAUAACGUCUGAAUUCAUCCUUGUAGUGAUUGUAUCUGGCAUUCAGUUGUCGGGUAUAGGAGCUGCAUCGUUUACUGUGAAAAAAUUAGAGUGUUUAAAGCAGGCUUAUGCCGUGAAUACAUUAGCAUGGAAUGAUACUUUAGGACUUUGUCUUUAUUUAUUGGUUUCUAAGAGAAAGUAAUGAUUAAUAGGGAUAGUUGGGGGUAUUCAUAUUUAGUUGUCAGAGGUGAAAUUCUUGGAUUUACGAAAGAUGAACAUAUGCGAAAGCAUUUACCAAGGAUGUUUUCA
rnacentral:rRNA from 1 species